GACGAACGCUGGCGGAGUGUAUAAUACAUGCAAGUAGAACGCUGAAGGAGGAGCUUGCUUCUCUGGAUGAGUUGCGAACGGGUGAGUAACGCGUAGGUAACCUGCCUGGUAGCGGGGGAUAACUAUUGGAAACGAUAGCUAAUACCGCAUAAUAGUAGAUGUUGCAUGACAUUUGCCUAAAAGGUGCAAUUGCAUCACUACCAGAUGGACCUGCGUUGUAUUAGCUAGUUGGUGGGGUAACGGCUCACCAAGGCGACGAUACAUAGCCGACCUGAGAGGGGGAUCGGCCACACUGGGACUGAGACACGGUCCAGACUCCUACGGGAGGCAGCAGUAGGGAAUCUUCGGCAAUGGACGGAAGUCUGACCGAGCAACGCCGCGUGAGUGAAGAAGGUUGUCGGAUCGUAAAGCUCUGUUGUAAGAGAAGAACGAGUGUGAGAGUGGAAAGUUCACACUGUGACGGUAUCUUACCAGAAAGGGACGGCUAACUACGUG
rnacentral:rRNA from 1 species